GAUUAACGCUGGCGGCGUGCAUAACACAUGCAAGUCGAACGAUGAAACUUAGUAGACUUCUUCGGAAAGACACUAAGCGGAUUAGUGGCGAACGGGUGAGUAACGCGUGAGUAACCUGCCUUACACAAGGGGAUAGCCUUUGGAAACGAAGAAUAAUACCCUAUAAAACCAUAAAAGCACAUGCUAGAAUGGUCAAAGUGAUAGCGGUGUAAGAUGGACUUGCGUCUGAUUAGCUAGUUGGUGAGAUAAAAGCUCACCAAGGCAACGAUCAGUAGCCGGCUUGAGAGAGUGUACGGCCACAUUGGGACUGAGACACGGCCCAGACUCCUACGGGAGGCAGCAGUGGGGAAUUUUGCACAAUGGGGGAAACCCUGAUGCAGCGACGCCGCGUGAUUUAGAAGGCCUUCGGGCUGUAAAAAUCUUUUGUAUAGGAAGAAAAUGACAGUACUAUACGAAUAAGGUCCGGCUAAUUACGUG
rnacentral:rRNA from 1 species